rnacentral:lncRNA from 1 species
CUAGAACCCUGUAGGUAAGAGGACUUUUUGUGUCCAGACAGAUGGCAAUACUCAUCCGUAUGUUGUCUGCCCCAGGGCAAGUGUCACAGUGAGUACGAAUAAAGCGAUCAAUAAUUUGUCUAUCUGAAAAGUAUGAAGAAAAACAGGAUGAAAAUUUUCACUUUGAUGAAGUGACACAUGCAUUACUGUAACCCACGACCACAGGAUGAUAUAGAUCAUUCCUUCCAUCCCAGAAGACCCUUCAUGCACCUUCCCAGUCAACACUCCCUACUUCAAGACAGCCACUGUUCUGGUUUCUUUCAUCAAAGAUAAGUUUUCCCAGUUGUAGACCUUCAAAUAAAUGAAAUCAUACAGAAGGUAUUCUUUUGUGUCUGGCUUCUUUCAUUCAGCACGUUUUUGAGGUUCAUAUGUUUUGCUCUAUAUAUCAAUAACUAAUUUCUUUUUAUUGAGUGGUAUUUCAUUAUAUGAAUAUAUCACAGUUUGUUUAUCUAUUUUCCUGCUGAUGGAGAUUUGGGUUGCAUCCAGUUUGAGGCUAUUAAGAAUAAAGUGGUUAUAAACAUUCUUGUACAU